UGGAUGAUAGAUAAGUGGUUAAAAUGGGCGGACUGUAAAUCCGUCGGCUUCGGUCUUCGUGGGUUCGAAUCCCUCUCAUCCAA
rnacentral:tRNA from 1 species